UCCAGCUAUUUGGCCCAACCCAUAUUAGAUUGUGUUAUAAAGACAUGGUAAAUUACAUCACGAAGGGAAGAGCAGAGGAAACAUAAUAUUCCUUCAAGACCCAUCAGCUCAGAUGUUAGCAGAACACCCCUAAGGAGGAAAACAAGAAAUUUUGGGUUUGAACUUGGUACUUCCCAGCAGCCCUGGGAGUGGGGUCAGAAGCCCUGCUGGGGGCCAAAGAACUCUGAGGAUCAAAGAUGUUGAGCAUCACCUUAGAGGCCAAAGAUCAGAACAGUGGAGGUGGCCUUUGAAGCCCAACCUGUCUUUCACCAGAGAGUGAGAACGGCCUCUAUUUCCAGGAAGCUCACUGCAGCAAUAAUCAUGAUGCUCUGAGCCUGACAAGGUGAGAAUUUACUUUCAGCACCUGCAAUAGUUUCCUAUUAAAGUUACAUAUGAAACCCUGCCGUCUUGUACCAACUAAUGUUCACACCAGCGUUCCUAUUUUCAAGAUAAAUUGCAAAAUAAAAACUCUUGUUUUCGUUAGCAAAAGAAAACUUCUUUAGGAGGAUAAAAGGGAGAUGAAGAAACAGAAAACACAUCAGCUCUCCAUCCAGAUUACAGAAAGCAGAAAACAUCCUGAAGUGAAUAACAUAGGAAUCGCUCUUUUUCCCCCCUGAGAUAGCAGGUUACUUAUGAGAAACAAGCUUGAAAUCUCUGCACCUGGACCAGCUUCCAGAGGCUUUUGUCCUGACCAGCUGGCUUUGGGGAAGUAAAGGAAACCAGAGAAGAAGAGGCUGAAAGAAUUGGUUUCCACCGUGACCUUUGAACCCUCGGGCGAGUUGUCAGCCUCACUGAGGAUGAGUGUACUCCAUAUCAAGUGAGGUCACUUUACUCGCAAGCUUGUUGUGAGGACUGAAUGAAACCUUUUCUUUUUUCUUGGAGUUUCAGAGCAACGUCCCUGAGCCCAGCCCCACACUGGCUUGAGCCCUGUCGUCGGUCAAGACACGGUGCUUUCUCCCCUCCCCUCUGCACUCCAGCUUACUCUGCAGUCAGGAGGUGGCACCACGAUCCCCUUUAAGACUUUGCCACUUGGGCCAGCUGCGCCCCUGUGAAAUUCCCUGUUUCUAUUGCAGGCCACAAGGACGAGCUGAGAAAUGGCUUCCAGUCACCAUCUAGAUUAGAAAGCCUAUAUUUCAAAUAUAGAUAUAUCAAUUAUGCCUGUAAAAAGACAUUAAAUCCCACAGGGCUGUAAUUCCUAGACUCUACGAAUUUCAUCUUGCACCAAAUUUUAUUAUUUCAUUUAUAAUUCGGAUUCUUCAAAUCUAAGAGUGCCUGGCUCAAAAUUAAAAUACCUACAACUAUGCCAAAACUGGACUCUUUAAUUGCCUUACUGGAACCAGUAGCUGAUUCAAAGCAAAACGAAACAAAAUUCCUCCUUUCUCUGAUUUAGUGAAUCAAUGAUCUAACUGAACUCAUUUUUGGACUGAGUUUGCGGCACUUGCAGCCCUGAGGGACACAUUCCCCCACCACACUGAGCCUGCACUCCCAUCAAUGCAAAUGAACAUUUUGCUUAUUCAGAUUGGGGGGGUGAAGGAAG
rnacentral:lncRNA from 1 species